rnacentral:rRNA from 1 species
CACGUAGGGGGCGAGCGUUGUCCGGAUUUAUUGGGCGUAAAGAGCUCGUAGGCGGUUUCGUAAGUCGGAUGUGAAAACUCCAGGCUCAACUUGGAGACGCCAUUCGAUACUGCGAUGACUUGAGUCCGGUAGGGGAGUGUGGAAUUCCUGGUGUAGCGGUGAAAUGCGACGAUAUCAGGAGGAACACCUGUGGCGAAAGCGGCUCACUGGACCAUAACUGACGCUGAUGCACGAAAGCUAGGGGAGCAAACAGG